GCAGACAUGGCCGAGUGGUUAAGGCCACAGACUUGAAAUCUGUUUCCAUCUUGGAGCGUAGGUUCAAAUCCUGCUGUCUGGGCG
rnacentral:tRNA from 1 species